rnacentral:rRNA from 1 species
AGGGCCCUCUGGGUCCAACCUCCCACCCGUGUUUAUCGUACCUUGUUGCUUCGGCGGGCCCGCCGUCAUGGCCGCCGGGGGGCACCCGCCCCCGGGCCCGCGCCCGCCGAAGACACCAAUGAACUCUGUCUGAAGAUUGCAGUCUGAGCGAUUAGCUAAAUCAGUUAAAACUUUCAACAACGGAUCUCUUGGUUCCGGCAUCGAUGAAGAACGCAGCGAAAUGCGAUAAGUAAUGUGAAUUGCAGAAUUCAGUGAAUCAUCGAGUCUUUGAACGCACAUUGCGCCCCCUGGUAUUCCGGGGGGCAUGCCUGUCCGAGCGUCAUUGCUGCCCUCAAGCACGGCUUGUGUGUUGGGCCCCC